UACGGAGGGUGCAAGCGUUUAAUCGGAAUUACUGGGCGUAAAGCGCACGCAGGUGGCUGAGUCAGUCGAUUGUGAAAGCCCUGGGCUUAACCUGGGAAUUGCAGUCGAUACUACUCAGCUAGAGUAUGGGAGAGGGUAGUGGAAUUCCCGGUGUAGCGGUGAAAUGCGUAGAUAUUGGGAGGAACACCAGUGGCGAAGGCGGCUCACUGGACUGGUACUGACGCUGAGGCGCGAAAGCCAGGGGAGCAAAGCGGG
rnacentral:rRNA from 1 species